GAUGAACGCUAGCUACAGGCUUAACACAUGCAAGUCGAGGGGAAACGAUAUUGGAAGCUUGCUUCUGAUAGGCGUCGACCGGCGCACGGGUGAGUAACGCGUAUCCAACCUGCCCAUCACUUGGGGAUAACCUUGUGAAAGUAAGACUAAUACCCAAUGACGUCUCUAGAAGACAUCUGAAAGAGAUUAAAGAUUUAUCGGUGAUGGAUGGGGAUGCGUCUGAUUAGCUUGUUGGCGGGGUAACGGCCCACCAAGGCGACGAUCAGUAGGGGUUCUGAGAGGAAGGUCCCCCACAUUGGAACUGAGACACGGUCCAAACUCCUACGGGAGGCAGCAGUGAGGAAUAUUGGUCAAUGGACGAGAGUCUGAACCAGCCAAGUAGCGUGCAGGAUGACGGCCCUAUGGGUUGUAAACUGCUUUUAUUAAGGGAANAAAUGGGAGUCGUGACUC
rnacentral:rRNA from 1 species